AGUGGGAGAAGCCUGUAUAUUUAUACAGGAGGAGCCCAAGUUCAAGGCCUGCCUGUACUGUCGAACAAGUUUCAGGCCAGCUUGAGCACUUACCAGGAACCCUGCCACAAACACAAAGAAAAGGGAGAGCCUGGGGUCGGACCUGGCCAUAGAGGUUUGCUUAGCGUGUGGAAGGCUCUGGGUUCGAGUUACAGAGACAACAGCAUCACGCCCCUGGGGCUCAGGGUUGGAGGUGAGCCUUUACCUUUCCUCUGUCUUCCUGCAGAAAGAUGUUUAUACCCAGUGACAGCCACUACCCAGCCACCAGCGCAGGGCCUGAAAGCUGAGCCUACACUGGGAACUAUUUACUGUCAGCUGCUCUCUGUCAGCAGGCUCCGGAGCCACAGGGACUCUAAGGAAGCAAAGGUAGGGAGCAAAGGGAGAGACAGCCACAGGAGGCACGUGGCAUUAUCUUGCUAUGGCACUAUUCACUGCUGAGUGUCUGCCUGUUCACACCAUCCCAGAGGGCAGUGUAACACUGGUGGGCUAUAUGAACACCAACCAGAUCAAAACGCUGGAGGAAAAGACUCUCAGGGCCAGGUCCCCAAAGGAGGGGGUGCUGAAGUUUUCAGCAGCUUCCUCCUCCUCCUGUGGACACCAGGAUGGCAAAGCAGAGAUCCUCCAUGGCCACCAGGAAUGGAGGGCGCUGUCCUGUGGCCCUGCCCUUGGCCUCUGUGGCAGGGAUGAUCUUGUCGUCACCUCUGCCUGUGCUCCCUCACCACGCUGUCUUCACAGAUUGAGAGCCAGCUGAAGAGGAGAGAGAGGCUGCAGAGGAUACCUGAACCGGGGAGCUGGUUGGGUUCCCACAGGGCACUGCGAGGCGUUGCCUGGGUGUUGGAGAACGAGCUGGCCCCUGGCUGAUCUUAAACAGCGCGGCUGAGGGCCAUAGCGAGGGUACUGUGUAAGCCAUGAAGCUUUGGGUCAUCGGCACCGCCAGUUCCCUGUGCUUCUAGCUCUGCAUGAAACCAAGGGCCAUAAAGGUAAGGUAUCAAGGGGACUGAUGAGGGAACAGGGAACAGCCUGAAAGUCUAAGAAUUCUACUCAGCCCAUCAGUGGGCCACGCUGGUGCCACAGGGACAUCUGACGUACUGGCUAGCUGUUCACCCACACUGGGAGGUGCCCACAGUACUGUCCUUGCUGUCCUAAACCUCUCACUUCCUAACCUUCUGGCCUGCCCGCUAGCUCACGUUCACAUUCAGAACAUUUCAGGGGCUGCUGAGGAGAGCCACGGUGAACAGGAGCCAGGUUGAGGGUAACGUGAGGUGGCUAGCAGGAUGAAACUGGAGUCCCAACUGCAGGAGGCCACCCAGAGAGAGCCUCUAAAGAGGGAACUGCAGACACCCUCCCAAUGGCAGAAGCUGCCCCUGGGAGGUGAUCUGUAAGCAUAUCUGAAGGACCCUGCCCUCCGUGAUCCUAAAGGAAGAAGAAGGGACCGAAAAAGGAAGGUGACAUCUCAGUGAUGCUUGUGUGUGUUCUAAGCAGAGGCGGCAGGAGUCCCUAAGGAGAAGGAGGAACUGCAGCUGAGGGGGCCAUGCAGGACACAGGGAGGACUGGCAAGAGAUCAAGACUGAGCUGGCCAAGACUGUACAUGGAAGAAUCCAACGCCAGCCAGAAGCUCACAGAGGAAGCGCUGUAGGUGAUUGGGCAAAUAGCUUAUCUGUGACUGGAUUCAUUCCAGAGGCAAACUGGGCUUAGCUGAAGGUUCACCUGUAGGGGACAGUGGUGGCAGUAUCACAGAGAGCAUCAAGGCCAUGAAACAAACCAAGCACAUUCCAGAAAAGCGGGCUGAUCAUUUUGACCUUCACACCUGCAGAGACUGUACGAUUAACACGAAGGACUCCCUCAGGGUCUCAUAGACCUAGGCUGGUCCAGGUGGGGACUGUGGCGAUGCCAGGAAAGGAAGAAAAGGUGUGAGAUGGGGAGAAGAUAAGAAGAGGGCUGCAGGAGUGAAGGCUGGGGCUAGCCCCAGCUCCCAAGUAUGCUGGCGACUCCAUGUGUCUGCUUCCUUCUGCUGCUCAGCUGCUGUAGCAAUGACAAUGACAGUUAUGGCUUCGAGAUAUUCUUAGCUGUAAGUCUAAUGUUUCAUCUGGAAUAAAUAUCAAACUUGGAUUAAGACAAGUGCACUUGAGCUUCACAAGCAUGUAUGCACAUAAACACACUCAAACACACAUACAAACACACUCAUACACACAUACACACAAACACACACAUACAUAUACACAUACACACAAGCACACACACAAACAUACACAUGCACACAUACAUAUACACAUACAUACAAAUGCACACACACAAAACCACACACACACACACAAAACCACAUACACAUACAAACAAACACCCACACACAUGCACACACACAAACACACACACACACACACACACACACACACACACACACAAGCUGUUCUAGUUUUUUUCCAAGUUCACAGAUAGGAACCUUCUGCCUUGUUUAGACUUUAUUUUUUCACACAGGGUCUCAUGUCUUCCAGGCCGGUCUCAAACUCCCUAUGUAGCUGAGAAUGACCUUGAACUUUAAUACCCUCUUCCCUCCACCUCCUGAGUGCUGGAAUUAGAGGUGUGCGACACCACACUCCAUUCAUGUGGAUCAAUCCAGGGUUUUAUGCCCUGAGCUGCGUCUCUAAGCUGCGAUGUCAUUUCUUUUGGGUUUGUCCUGAAAGUUCAACACACCCCAAUUAAACCCAGAGAAUUACUUUGUGGAUAUGGAAAGAAAGGCCAAUAAAAUCCUAAAAGCAAGGAACAAAGAAGGUUGAUAUUAUCAGCCUUGGAGCACACUGUG
rnacentral:lncRNA from 1 species